rnacentral:lncRNA from 1 species
UUUGGAAUUUGUGUCAAAUGUUCGGACUCCUUGGUGUUUUUCCAUACAAUACAAUGUAAAAUAUUUUGCCCCAUAACACCCAUUUAUUUUUUCAUAUAAGACUUAAUAGCUCAUGAAAGGUUAUUUACCAAAAUUUUAGAAGAUUCUUUAUUUUCUUUCUUUUGUUUUAAGACCUAAUAAUAUCAAUGCAAAUAUAAGGUAAAAGUCCAAGUCAACCUUUUCCCGCCAUAUUCUAAAUCUCGAAUAUCUCGAAAAGGAGGUCCAUGACCUAUCAAUAAUUUUAGCUUAUUUUUA